rnacentral:rRNA from 1 species
UACGUAGGGUGCAAGCGUUGUCCGGAAUUAUUGGGCGUAAAGAGCUCGUAGGCGGUCUGUCGCGUCUGCUGUGAAAACUCAGGGCUUAACCCUGAGCUUGCAGUGGGUACGGGCAGACUAGAGUGCGGUAGGGGAGACUGGAAUUCCUGGUGUAGCGGUGAAAUGCGCAGAUAUCGGGAGGAACACCGGUGGCGAAGGCGGUUCUCUGGGCCUUACCUGACGCUGAGGAGCGAAAGCAUGGGGAGCGAACAGG